rnacentral:misc_RNA from 1 species
UUUAAAAAUUUAUUCAUUUUAUAUUUUUGUAAAGUUUUUAAAAAAGUUUGCAUUGUAAUAAAUUUCAUUGUUACGUUACGACUAUGACAGAUUCAUUUUUAUUACUCACGAUCGUGACCGCGAACAUGGCCGCAAUUGUGAUUCAAAACCAUGAUUGACGCUAAAAGAUGUGGUGCUUGAGCAUAAAUGUCAUAAUGUCGUAUUUCUGGCCUUGUGUGUCAACCUGUCCAAUAGCUCCCCAUUGGUGGGGUUUAUAGGGUACUGUGUCAUUAGACUGUGGUAGUGAUUAUUUAGUAAUAAAGUGGGUGUAUCAGAAAAUCUUGUCAGUGUAGAAGAGAAUCUUUCCCACAAUCCCAUUGAAUUGAAUUAUGAAGCCACUGCAUCCAUAAACUUUAUGCAAAGGAAUCUUCUAUUCCCAAAUCACAAGAGAUUUUGCGUCACUGGUUAUAGGUAAUGAUGAAUGACUACUUUGUAGAAAACUAUUGUUUGCGAUUAAUAUAUCUUAUCCUUUGAUGAUAUUAUGGACCUGCACCCAACUUUUAAGUCCCGGUUAAGUAUGUCAACAAUUUUGAUUUGACUCCUAUACCUUCCUUUGGUAACUUUAAUUCAUUUAUUUUUCCAUAUUAUAUUGCCACCCAUAUGGGUGUCAAAUUGCCACCCAGGCAUCAGAAAUAUUCUGGGCCUAUUUGAUGACUAUUUUUUGGGAGUGGUAAUUGUUGGAUGCUGUGCUCAGCUCUAUCACCCAAGGCAGAUAAAGGGUAGUAAUACUAGAGUGACAAUACUGGCAGUGAACAAAUUUGAUUGUUGUCAGAGUUAUCAGUAACUUAUAGAAGAUUAAAAAGGUGGUAGACUAGGGAGAUUUGGCAAGUUGAGUAUUUUUACAGUCACUGAAAAAAGUCCAAAGAAAAAGAACCAAACCUUCUUCUUGUGUAGAAAAAAGUUAAAUUAUAGAUGUCAUGAGAGCUUAUAACCAACUAACAUAAGAAAAAAAGGAUUCUAGAUAUAGAUGAGAUAACUGUUAAGACAGUCAUCUUUAUUAUUUGCAAUAAAAUUUGUUUAU